rfam:Pteropus alecto contig29434, whole genome shotgun sequence.
AUCUACGGCCAUGCUACCCUGAACAAGCCCGAUCUCAUCUGAUCUCAGAAGCUAAGCAGUCGGGCCUGGUUAGUACUUGGAUGGGAAGUACUUCUACCUAGGAAGACCAGGUACUAUAGGUG